CAGUCGCCGCGGUAAUACGUAGGGUGCAAGCGUUAAUCGGAAUUACUGGGCGUAAAGCGUGCGCAGGCGGUUCGUUAAGACAGAUGUGAAAUCCCCGGGCUUAACCUGGGAACUGCAUUUGUGACUGGCGGGCUAGAGUAUGGCAGAGGGGGGUAGAAUUCCACGUGUAGCAGUGAAAUGCGUAGAGAUGUGGAGGAAUACCGAUGGCGAAGGCAGCCCCCUGGGCCAAUACUGACGCUCGUGCACGAAAGCGUGGGGAGCAAACAGGAUUAGAUACCCGCGUAGUCCCUGUCUCUUAUAC
rnacentral:rRNA from 1 species